rnacentral:rRNA from 1 species
CUGUGCAAAGGUAGCAUAAUCAUUAGUUUUUUAAUUGAAAGCUGGAAUGAAAGGUUUGAUAAAAAAAAUACUGUCUCAUUAAUUAAUUUUAAAAUUUUAUUUUUAAGUAAGAAAGCUUAAAUUUUUUAAAAAGACGAGAAGACCCUAUAGAGUUUAAUAAAAUUGUAAAUUAGUGUUAUUUGGGUUUAAAAUUAGGCUAUUUUUUGAUUUAUUUUAUUGGGGUGAUAUAAAAAUUUAGUGAACUUUUUAUUUAUUAAGACAUAAAUGUAUGGUUAAUUGAUCCUUUGUUUUAGAUUAAAAGAAAUAAUUACCUUAGGGAUAACAGCGUAAUUUUUUUCAGAGUUCUUAUCGAAUAAAAAGUUUGCGACCUCGAUGUUGGAUUAAAGUUAGGUUUCGGCGAAGAAGCUGGAAUUUUAAGUCUGUUCGACUUUUAAACCU